rnacentral:lncRNA from 1 species
UUACACCUUAAGUUUUUUUCAACUCUUCCUCGUCCACUAAUUACGGCAGUUUCGGCAGCGUGUCACGUCCUCCUCGCCUUCCUAGCCCGUGAUCAUCCAGUCCGCCCGGAUGGCUCCUGUAGCUCUCUAGCGUUUGAGCCACCAGGAGCCACCAAGAGUUCCUCCAGAGCGAGCUCCACCCUCCGCAGGUGGGGCCUGAGGACCCCGCGGCGCCCAUGCCGAGCGGGCACCGCCCCAUCCACCCACCGGCCCCGCGCCCAACCCACGCACCCGCCCCGCACCACGCAACAUCGCCCUAGCGCCUCUGCGACUGGCGCCGCGCGGAGUGCGCCGCCCGCCAUUGGACAAACGCUCUAUAGCGCCAUCUCAGCCUACCGCGCGGUGCGCGCUCUCAUUGGUUCGGACGGCGUGGGAGGCGGGGUCCGCUCAAGGGGCGGUGCCGGGCCGGAGCCCCGCCUCCCGGUCCCUGGGCUGGGCCGAGCCCGCCGGGCGGCUGAAGCGCGUAGGGCCGGGUUGCGAGCGGGGCGCGCAGCGGUUACUCUGGUUACUGUCCGCGAGGGAUGCUGGGGACCCGGCGGGCAGGAGCCUUCGCCUCGCUCUGAAGGACGCUCAUCCGAGACAGCCAUUUACUCUCGAGGAAGGCAAGUGUCGGUCGGACAGGUUCCCGGCCGUGACUUCGGGGCUUGCUUGAGGAGGAAUCUCCAAGGGAGGGCUGAGCUGCCAGGCUGCCGCCGCGCUUCGGGACGCCGUGGCCAUCUUUUGUUGGAGAAGGCUGCCGGGGCAGUGUUGCUAAGGGCAGCUUUCCCAGCACCCAGAUCCUUCUACGCUCCCGACUCCUUCCUACCGAGCACCUGCUGCUGGUGACAAAAGACCGUUUACAGCCAGGCGAGCGGACAUCGAAGUAUACAGCCUCGUUCGCACCCCUCAGCCCAAUAGAGAGGCCCCUGUCCAUCAGUUGGCUGAAUGAAGAAGUGUGUAAUCAGGAGCCGUUGGAGUAGGCAGGCUUUAAGAUCUGGACAACUUAAGAUACAUUUGCACUCUCAAUGAUUUCAAAAAUUGAUCACAUCUGACUCGUGAUCCUGAAACUAUUUAUUGGAAGAAGUUCGACCGGUUGCCCCGAACCCCUUUGAGAACUACAUUUUGGGGACAUUUUAAUCACUGAAGACCUUCCGAGGAAAAAAGACCCCCCCCAAGAGACCCCCAAAACACAAAAUCCUCAGCCUUGGCUGGUGCCA